GUUUUUUUAAUGCAAUCAAAUUGUUGUAGUUUGUAGAUAAUCAUUGUUUUAUUUAGAAAAGUAGACAUCACUACUUGGAUAAUGUUGUUAGUGUAGCACACCUAGAAAAAGCAGUAUAUUGUUUAUUCAUCUCACCACAUACGUCUUUCACUUUUUGCGAUUGAUAUUUAUUAGAUGAUUAUGUAGGCUUUGCUUUAGGUCAAAAAUUACCAUGUGAAAACAAAAAUGUAGGCUAUUCAUAUGGGAGUCAAACACAUAAACUGAUUAUAGGGUAUAAGAAUAAGACUCCAUCUCAGCCUAUAUUGAAUUGACUGUUAAUUUGCAUCACCUUAAUCAAUAUAAAUAAUUACAUUAAAAUGUUUUAUUAGAGGAACAUUAUGUUUUAUUUUACAGUUCUGUUUUCACUGGUAAAUCUGACUGCAAUUGAAUGUGUUAAUGUGUAUUUAAAUGUACCUUCCUGUAUUAUACCUUUUCUAAAAUGUUUAUUCUAUUCUACUGAGGCAGUUACUUUAUGUUCGUCUUCUUCUCUUUUCGUAUUUCUUAUUGUUGUUGCAUUGUUGAGAAGGAACCUGAACCAGCCACAGCCCCCCCUACUCUACUCACUCUUAUGAACUGUGGAACCCCUUCUAACGACAUCUACAGCAUCGGUUGUCUAGCUACCGGCUUUUCACCUUCCUCACUCACCUUCAAAUGGACAGACGCCAGUGGGAGUGUGCUGACGGACUUCGUCCAGUACCCGUCGGUUCAGAGUGGGGGAGCCUACACAGGAGUCAGCCAGGUCCGCUUGUCUAAGAAUAACUGGGAAAACUCAAAGUCUUUCAUUUGUUCUGUGGAACAUCUUGGAAUUGAAAAGACAGCAGUCAUCAAUAAACCAGUCUCAAAGCUUCCAUCGGUGUCUUUGCUGUCUGCACCCAUUGGCACCACUCAGUACCUGAUGUGUAUGAUUGAAGAUUUCACCCCCAACAAAGUCACUGUCACCUGGAAGAAGAAUGACAUGGAGGUGGAGGGCCAGACCCCUACUGUAGGCAAACAGCCAUCAGGCCUCUACUCAGCCAGCAGUCUGCUGAAGGUCACCAACACUGACUGGAACAACAAGGUCAAGUACAGCUGUGUGGUGCAGCACCAGGGACAACCCACCAUCAAGACAAUCUCCAAAACAGAACCACUGACGGUGACUCUGAACCCACCGAGUGUGAAAGAGGUGUUCUUGGACAACCAAGCAGUACUGGACUGUGUCAUCACUGGUACAGACCAGGACACGGUGUCUGGUACCAACAUCACCUGGCAGGUCAACGGACAGGCCAAGACGAGAGGCAUCAUUAUGAAACCUAUUGAAUCAAAGGACAACCUGAACAGCAGGGUCAGUACUCUGACCAUAGACCAGACGGAGUGGACCAAUGUGAACAAUGUCCAGUGUUCUGCCAUGAAGAGAGGUGAAGACACACCGGUCAUUCAGGACAUCAGCUUCACCAAAGGAAGUCAAGCCCCUUCAGUGUCCGUUCACCUUGUCCCAAAGGAAGACCCCAUGGCGGGGGAAGUGACUCUGGUGUGCCUGGUGGUCAUUCCGUCUCUCUGUGACGUCUACAUCAUGUGGCAGGUGAACAGCAGCCAGUACCAGGAGGGGGUCACCAGCCCUCCUCAGAAAACCCAGAAAGGCAGCUACCUUGUCACCAGCGUCUUCACCACCACCAAGAAUGUGUGGGACACAGAAGUGCUUUUCACAUGCGCUGUCAGGCACGCUGGCUUGGACAACAACACCGCAGCUAAGGUGGACAGUGUGUCGAAGUCCAAGGAGAACAUCCUACUGACUGAGCCUGAGGCGGGCUUCGCUCUGAGCUGCACGGACAACGUUGAGGAUGAGUUCAGCAGCCUGUGGUCCACCACCUCCUCCUUCAUCAUCCUCUUCCUUCUCUCUCUCACCUACAGCACAGUACUCAGCCUGGUCAAGGUACUGACACCACUUAUUUCAUGUGAUUUUAGACUUCUGAUGAAGGCCAUUGGCAGCUGAAACGUCACGAUUUUAAAUUAAACAAUGAUGUAUCAAGUGUUUAAUUGAACAGAAGCAUUUCGCUACACCUGCAAUAUCAUCUGCUAAAUAUGUGUGUGACCAAUACAAUUUUAUUUUAUUUUAUAGUUGCUCCUUUCCCUUCCAAAUAUGAUUACAUACACAGAGGAGAGAUGAGAAACUCCUUGUGGGCCAAAGGUAACCUACGUUGUUCCACUUUGCUGUCUGUUUACUGUAAUAACCUGUAUCUGUCUCUGCCUCCUUUCAGAUGAAGCAGUGAAGAACACAUGAUGGACUGCAGAGAUAGAUGUGUCUAGAUUAGAAAUAAAAUGGUCUGGGAUGGUUAUGGAGUAGUGUUCUUCAGUAAUAAUAUGUAUAUAUCCUAUACAUUAUUGAUUUUUGAUUGAUUAGUAUUGUUGUUCUCAAUAUUAUACACGCAUUGUGGUGAUAUGUUAUUUUUCAUUUGUUCAUUUCUAUUGUACAGUAUCUUUAAAUAUAAGAGUAUCCUGUGAAGUCUGUGUCUUUUUUCACUGUAAUAAAGUCUAACUCUUAGCAA